rnacentral:misc_RNA from 1 species
GAGGAGCAUGUGUGUGCUCGCGCACGUUUUCGGCGUCUCGUUUCUCACUCACGCAUCGCGCAUUUCUUUCACUUUUAAUUAUCAUCGACGAGCACGCACGGAAAAGCAGAGUGCUGAGCGACAGACAGGGGUAGGGGAGUGGGAGGCCAGUGAGGACCGAGUACGCUGCAUUGCCUCAGCGGUCUCUCUUGUAGCCCCUCACGGCUCCACCUUUACACACCCCCACGUGCGCGCAGACUCAGCUGCAUAUGAGUCACAGGGGUGUACCUUUCAAGGCCCGCGCUGGCAAAGCAGCGACAGCCGCCGCCGACGAACCUGGCAAUUCUGUUCCUCUGACCUCGCCUUCUGAUGCUUUAAACGGCCGAAAAGGUGCUGACCUCGCCACUGGCAAGGGAACCACCUCGGGGGAGGAGUUUGUGUGCGUUCGAGCUAUCGCCCAGGCGGGCAGUAGCAGUAGCGCCCAGCUGACGGUGGUGCACCGCCUCCUGAAGAGUGUCUUGGCAGCCGCAGGCAAUGUUGUUCGCGGCACCGACUCACAGCGCAAGUUCACAAGCCUAUACACAGAGUUUUGCAUCAGUGCUGUGCGUAGCUUGGCGGAUGUGGAGGACGCUGUGUACGAGCUCACUAACCCAGGCUGUCGCGCUGCCGACGCUGCAGACUGCGAAAUUGAAGGCAUCGACGAUGCCGAGUUCCUUAAACAAGUGGCCGCAUAUGUGGCGACGCACACCAGCGCCCUCGGCGUGGCAUACCUAGAGCACGUUGGUCGGUCUGCCCUCGAGAAGCUGCAGAAACAGCAACGUAAACGGGAGCGCUCCACUACCACGGGCAGCGGCAGCGCUGCCACUUCGGGCCACCGGCCGGCUAAGCUGAGUCGCACGCUCAUCGCCAGGGGUGCCGGUGCUCAAGCAGCCCAUGGCGGCGCCGCCGUUGAUAUGCAUGACAGCUCUCAUUUCGACUCUCUCGGUCUUGUGGAUGCACAGGAGACCAUGCGGUGCGCUCUGCGGGCAAUUGAGAGUGAGAAACAGACGGCUGUUUCCGCACCCACUGAUGCGGCAGCCGCGUCGCGUCGCGGUCUCCAAGCUUUUGCUGCGACGCAACUGGGACUGGGCUACUCCGAUGCCCGCCCCUCUGGUGUGUUUUUGUCCAGGGCACCUGGCGGCCUCUCCGCGGCAGCGACAACGUCGGGCGGGACGCCGCUUGGCAAUGGCACGGUCACGUACGAGCUGCGCGACCCCCAUCUGAAGCUGAGCAGCAUUCCAGAGCUGUCUGCCCGUAUGCAGCCGUGGACGAUCCCGCUGCCGUCCAGCGGCGUGUACUUGGACCGAGUGACGAUGGAGCGCGACCGCAGAGGCGGGAACGCGAGCGGCAACGAAACCAGCACCGCCACCGCGGCGGUGGAACCGACCAAGGCAGCAUUGGAGGUGUGCCUCGCACCGACGCCCAUGGAGUUCCUGCGACAGUGGGAAAGCCGUGAGGCCGCGCUUGCGGCGGAGCAGCAGCAACAGCCUUCGUCGGCCCCGGCCUUCGUCGGGGGCCCCUACAGCGUAGUUCCUUACGCCGGUAGCGGCAGCCGUGCUGGUGGGCCGUCGACCGGCGGCAGCCCGCGUUCCACGGCACCUUUGUCAACGCCCCCCCUUUGCUUGUCCCCCAACAGCAGCCCUCUCGGGCAUCACCCUCCCUUUCUGCCUGAGUCGGAGGCUCGCACCAGCGGCGCCGACGUCGACCCCAUAUCUGCAUUCUCCUCUGCCUUCUUUCCAGCGGUGCGGGACAAGCGGACCACGACAAGCCUGCCAACGUACGUGAUGGCAAACCUUUCCCACUACGGCGUGUCGAAGAUGGAGUACGUGUACACGAUGGGGCCGACGAGCAAGUGACACGUGUGUGCGCUCACUGCUCUCUGUGUUUAGCAUCCUACUGCUGCGUGUAAGACGGCCAGCGUAUAGGCGCUCGCAAGCCUCCC